UUAUUAUUGUUCUUGACUUAUUGUAUAUGCUAAUUCAUUGCCUUAUUGUUUAUAAGACAAGAUGAUUAUCAAACAGCUCCUGUUGCUUACAUAGUUUGGUUCAUAAGAUGUUUAUUUACUUUCAUUUAGGUGAUAUGUGUGGUGGUAGUGGAAUUGAAUUCAUGGUUGCAAUCCCUAAUAAUCAGCUUGCUGAAUGCUGAUAUGAAUGAUUAUAAGCGUGCCAAACAAUGGGUUAACAUCAUAAAAAUUUUAUUAGAAGAAAAAUAGUGAGCCAAGAAAACAAGAGCUGCGGUGGAAUACUAUCAAGGUACAAAGGAAACAAAACAAGCAGGCCAUAGCAGCCAUUGAAACAGAGGCGGAAGCAUCACACACACAACCUCACAGGCAAACCAGAAGCAGAACAACAAGACCAAAGAACUGCCCCAGCACAGUCACCUACCCAAGCACGGAUGCCUCUAAUAGAGGUCUUUUUGAAAACAUGAGAGAUGUUGGCUUGGAAAAUGGCAGAGGAUUGCUUAGGUUAAUACUAGUUUGUCUUGUUUUAAUUAGUGUUAUGAACAUAGUAUGUCGCUUAGGUUAAUUAGUUGGAAAUGGUUUGAGAGCUUAUUGUCAAUGUUGUAGUAAACCAAGUUUUGGUAUUACUAGCAUGGAAGUUUCCUUUUGUCUUGGACAUAGAAUUAUCUUGCUUCUUUAUCUGUUUUGUGAAGGAAGGGAACCUCAUGUAAUUUGAUUGUACUUAUUGGCCUUCCUUGUGCCUUUUUAUCUUUAAUAUAUUUUUGGCCUUUUGACCUUUGUA